rnacentral:lncRNA from 1 species
AGAAUACCUGCUACAAAUUAUAGUGAUAAAGAAAGAAAUUAUAUAGCUAGAGGAAAAGUUAGACCUUUAGAACCUAAAAUAGAAUUUCAGACACCUCAUAAACCACAAUUAUUAAAUAUUACAGCACAUGAUCCCCAGAUGUGGAAUAAUACAAUAGAAGUUUGGAAGAACACGGUAAUAGGUCAUUAUAUUAGAUUAGCAGAAAAUAUGGAACCAUUAGAAAUGUAUAGAUAUUUAGAAACUUUUUUAGGAGAAAGUACUAAAGCUACAUGGGAAGCUUAUAAAAGAGAUAAACAAUCAGAAUUUGAAGCAUUAGUUUUAUUAGGAAAUAAUCCUUAUAAUUUCUUUAGUAAAAUACAUGAAUUAUUAACAGGAGCAGAUCCUAAUACAGGACAUUUAAUAAUUCAAAAUAAAGCUAUAAGAAAUUUAGAACAACUUAGUUUAAAUAGAUGGACUAAUGGUAAAGAGGUUAAACAAUUUUUAAAUGAAUAUUAUUAUUUAGUCUCUAUCUCAGGAAAUACUUUUAAUCAAGAAUUAGGUAAAAAAUUAUUUCAUAAAUUACCAGGACCUUUAGGAUUAGAAAUAACAAAGAAAUGGAAUGAAAAUAAAAAUGUUAAAGAAAGAC